UUUUCUUUUGCUGAUGGAGAACAGAAUGGACUGGAUGAAGAAUACACAGAUGAUGGUAGCAAGAAGCAGUCCUACUAUAGCGUCUGGAGGGGAGAAAACAGAGACAAGGGAAAGAUGGUGUUACUAACAGAGAGCAUGGGCACUGGAAUGACUCCACAGACCAAACACCAGCUGAAACAAUGAGGCCAAGUCUCCACUAACACCGCUUUGUUUGUUCAGCAGUAACCAGAGACAGACUGACUGCAGUCAGCAAGCUGAAUCUGGACCAAUACUGAAGUUAGUUUGAUAUCUGUGCAUCCAUAGAAUCUAC